AAGACCCCAUGGAGCUUUACUGUAGCUUGACAUUGGGUCUUGGUACUACAUGUACAGGAUAGGUGGGAGGCUUUGAAACCAGGACGCCAGUUUUGGCGGAGCCAUCCUUGGGAUACCACCCUUGUAGUACUGGGACUCUAACCAUAGGCCAUGAAUCUGGUCUUGGGACACUGUCAGGUGGGCAGUUUGACUGGGGCGGUCGCCUCCCAAAAGGUAACGGAGGCGCUCAAAGGUUCUCUCAGUACGGUCGGAAAUCGUACGUAGAGUGUAAAGGCAAAAGAGAGCUUGAUUGCAAGACAUACAGGUCGAGCAAGGAUGAAAAUCGGACUUAGUGAUCCGGUGGUUCUGCGUGGAAGGGCCAUCGCUCAACGGAUAAAAGCUACCCUGGGGAUAACAGGCUUAUCUCCCCCAAGAGUCCACAGCGACGGGGGGGUUUGGCACCUCGAUGUCGGCUCAUCACAUCCUGGGGCUGUAGUAGGUCCCAAGGGUUGGGCUGUUCGCCCAUUAAAGUGGUACGCGAGCUGGGUUCAGAACGUCGUGAGACAGUUCGGUCCCUAUCCGUCGCAGGCGUAGGAAAUUUGAGAAGACCUGUCCUUAGUACGAGAGGACCGGGAUGGACGUACCUCUGGUGUACCAGU
rnacentral:rRNA from 1 species